rnacentral:lncRNA from 1 species
UAAUACAUGCUUCCCAAGAAUUAUUUUACACAAGAGCUUCAAUAACUCAUUAGUAUCAAAUUAGUACUCAAAUAUUUUGUAUUUAUCAAAAUCAAUCCUUGAAUCAAUAUAUAUAUAUAUAAUAUUAUUUAAUAUAUAUAUAUGGUUGACAGGAUCGGAUCUUUUUUUGCUGUACGUAGAUCGUGGAAGCAGCAGCAAAGAUGGGAGGACAAUCUUGAUGGCGGAUCAGAUUAGGCCUAGAAGAACCCUAGGC